rnacentral:rRNA from 1 species
GGUUAAGCUGAUAAGAGCACAGGGUGGAUGCCUUGGCACUAAGAGCCGAUGAAAGACGUGAUAAGCUGCGAAAAGCUUCGGGGAGGAGCAAAUAUCCAUCGAUCCGGAGAUAUCUGAAUGGGGGAACCCGGCUGAGAAGACCUCAGUCACUGCAUGCUGAAUCCAUAGGCAUGCAGAGGGAACCCGGCGAACUGAAACAUCUAAGUAGCCGGAGGAAGAGAAAGAAACAUCGAUUCCGGGAGUAGCGGCGAGCGAAACCGGAAGAGCCCAAACCAGCGUGCGAGCAUGCUGGGGUUAAGGACUGCAAACGUGAACCGAAUUGCUAGCCAAAGUGGCUGGGAAGCCAAACCAGAGAGGGUGAAAGUCCCGUAGGCGAAAGCAAUAGGAAGCAGCAGGAUCCAGAGUACCACGAGACACGAGAAACCUUGUGGGAAGUAGGAGGGACCACCCUCCAAGGCUAAAUACUCCUUAGUGACCGAUAGAGGAAAGUACUGUGAAGGAAAGGUGAAAAGGACCCCGGGAGGGGAGUGAAAGAGAACCUGAAACCCUGUGUUUACAAGCUGUGGAAGCGCGUUAAGGCGCGACCGCGUACUUUUUGUAGAACGGUCCGGCGAGUUGUCUUUACUGGCAAGGUUAAGCGCUAAAGGCGCGGAGCCGAAGGGAAACCAAGUCUUAAAAGGGCGAAGAGUCAGUGGAGGCAGACCCGAAACCGGGUGACCUAUCCAUGUCCAGGUUGAAGCGGAAGUAAAAUUCCGUGGAGGACCGGAUCCACAUCCGUUGAAAAGGGUGGGAAUGAGGUGUGGAUAGGGGAGAAAUUCCAAUCGAACCCGGAGAUAGCUGGUUCUCCUCGAAAUAGCUUUAGGGCUAGCCUCGUAUUAGUUUAGCGGAGGUAGAGCACUGAAUUCCUGCGGGGGCGUCAAAGCUUACCAAGGGAUAUCAAACUGCGAAUGCCGCGUAAAUGAUGUACGGGAGUCAGACUGGACGAGAUAAGUUGGGCAGUCGAAAGGGAAAGAGCCCAGACCUACAGCUAAGGUCCCAAAGUGUGUGUUAAGUGGAAAAGGAUGUGGGAUUUCAAAGACAACUAGGAUGUUGGCUCAGAAGCAGCCACACAUUCAAAGAGUGCGUAAUAGCUCACUAGUCGAGAGGUCCUGCGCCGAAAAUGUCCGGGGCUGAAACACAACACCGAAGCUUAGGAAUCAGAAAUGAUUGGUAGAGGAGCAUUCUUAAAGAGAGGAAGCAGUACCGGCAAGGAGCUGUGGAUUUUUAAGAAGAGAGAAUGCCGGAAUGAGUAGCGAGAUGGAGGUGGGAAUCCUCCAGGCCGAAUAUCCAAGGUUUCCAGAGUAAAGCUGAUCUACUCUGGGUAAGUCGGGGCCUAAGGCGAGGCUGAAAAGCGUAGUCGAUGGACAACAGGUUGAAAUUCCUGUACCAUGCAGCAUCAGAACUGUGGGGACGCAGAAGGAUAGCACAACCCGGGAAUGGAAAGACCGGGGCAAGCGAGGUAGGGGUAUGGAAGGCAAACCCGCCAUACAACCCGAAGGCGUGAAGCGUAGCGAAAAAGGAGUAGCAAAGUGUGUGAAUCCAGCUGCCAAGAAAAGCCGCUAUUGUGUGCAGCAUGCCCGUACCGUAAACCGACACAGGUGGAAGAGGAGAGAAUCCUAAGGCCGGCGGGAGAAGCAUUGUUAAGGAACUCGGCAAAAUGACCCCGUAACUUCGGGAGAAGGGGUGCCUGGGGAACCAGGCCGCAGAGAAUAGGCUCAAGCAACUGUUUAGCAAAAACACAGGUCUAUGCAAAACCGAAAGGUGAGGUAUAUGGGCUGACGCCUGCCCGGUGCUGGAAGGUUAAGAGGAGAGGUAAGCCAUAAGGCGAAGCUUUGAAUUUAAGCCCCAGUAAACGGCGGCCGUAACUAUAACGGUCCUAAGGUAGCGAAAUUCCUUGUCGGGUAAGUUCCGACCCGCACGAAAGGCGUAAUGAUUUGAGCGCUGUCUCAACAAUGCACCCGGUGAAAUUGAAAUACCAGUGAAGAUGCUGGUUACCUGCGCCAGGACGGAAAGACCCCAUGGAGCUUUACUCCAGUUUGAUACUGGGAUUCGGUGCUGCAUGUACAGGAUAGGUGGGAGGCAAGGAAGCAUGGACGCCAGUCUAUGUGGAGCCGGUGUUGGGAUACCACCCUUGCGGCAUUGGGUUUCUAACCUGCAUCCAUGAACUGGAUGGGGGACAAUGUCAGGCGGGGAGUUUGACUGGGGCGGUCGCCUCCGAAAGGGUAUCGGAGGCGCUCAAAGGUUCCCUCAUAAUGGUUGGAAACCAUUAGAAGAGUGCAAAGGCAGAAGGGAGCUUGACUGCGAGAGCGACGGUUCGAGCAGGUACGAAAGUAGGACUUAGUGAUCCGGUGGUAUGAAAGUGGGAUUGCCAUCGCUCAACGGAUAAAAGCUACCCUGGGGAUAACAGGCUUAUCACUCCCAAGAGUUCACAUCGACGGAGUGGUUUGGCACCUCGAUGUCGGCUCAUCGCAUCCUGGGGCUGUAGCAGGUCCCAAGGGUUGGGCUGUUCGCCCAUUAAAGCGGUACGCGAGCUGGGUUCAGAACGUCGUGAGACAGUUCGGUCCCUAUCCGGCGCGGGCGUAGGAUAUUUGAGAGGAGCUGUCCUUAGUACGAGAGGACCGGGAUGGACGGACCGCUGGUGUAUCUGUUAGGCGCCAAGCCUAUGGCAGAGUAGCCAAGUCUGGAAGGGAUAAACGCUGAAGGCAUCUAAGCGUGAAGCCCCCCUCAAGAUGAGAUAUCCCAAACCGAAAGGAAGUAAGACCCCUUGAAGACGACAAGGUAGAUAGGUUAGAGGUGGAAGUGCAGCAAUGCAUGGAGCUGACUAAUACUAAUCGGUCGAGGGCUUAUCCAG